rnacentral:rRNA from 1 species
UGAGGAAUAUUGGUCAAUGGAGGCAACUCUGAACCAGCCAUGCCGCGUGCAGGAAGAAGGCCCUAUGGGUUGUAAACUGCUUUUGACAGGGAAAAAACCCCCGAUUUCGUAUCGGGGCUGAUGGUACCUGUUGAAUAAGCAUUGGCUAACUCCGUGCCAGCAGCCGCGGUAAUACGGAGGGUGCAAGCGUUAUCCGGAAUCAUUGGGUUUAAAGGGUGCGCAGGCGGUCUAUUAAGUCAGUGGUGAAAUCCUUCCGCUUAACGGAAGAACUGCCAUUGAUACUGAUUGACUAGAAUAUAGUUGAAGUAGGCGGAAUGUGUAGUGUAGCGGUGAAAUGCUUAGAUAUUACACAGAACACCGAUAGCGAAGGCAGCUUACUAAGCUAUUAUUGACGCUCAGGCACGAAAGCGUGGGGAUCGAACAGG